rnacentral:rRNA from 1 species
AAUGAACGCUGGCGGCAGGCCUAACACAUGCAAGUCGAACGGGUGCCUUCGGGUGCUAGUGGCGGACGGGUGAGUAACGCGUGGGAACAUACCCUUUGGUACGGAAUAGCCUCGGGAAACUGAGAGUAAUACCGUAUGUGCCCUUCGGGGGAAAGAUUUAUCGCCAAAGGAUUGGCCCGCGUUGGAUUAGGUAGUUGGUGGGGUAAUGGCCUACCAAGCCGACGAUCCAUAGCUGGUUUGAGAGGAUGAUCAGCCACACUGGGACUGAGACACGGCCCAGACUCCUACGGGAGGCAGCAGUGGGGAAUCUUAGACAAUGGGGGAAACCCUGAUCUAGCCAUGCCGCGUGAUCGAUGAAGGCCUUAGGGUUGUAAAGAUCUUUCAGAUGGGAAGAUAAUGACGGUACCAUCAGAAGAAGCCCCGGCUAACUCCGUG